AAACACCAUUGUCACACUCCA
rnacentral:miRNA from 1 species